rnacentral:lncRNA from 1 species
AGCAUGGCUUUCCCAGAGGUGAUAACAGAAGAAACCACUAAAGAAUAGGGAAAUAAAGUAGUCGAGUCCUGUGAACCAAGAACGCUCAGAGUAAUGCUGGCAUGUUAUCUGAGAGCCAGUGAUUGGAGCCCUGGCCUGCCAUUCUUCAUCUGAGAGUAUUGUAACAAAGUCAAGAAACCCAGGUGUGCAGAAGAAAACCUGAAACCUUCAGUGUGUUCAUUUAGAGAAGAAAACAUCGAAGUGAGGAAACAUGUCACAAGUUGAUACAAUAUGAUUUAUGAUCUCAAAGUUUUUAAAAGUUAUUUGUCACUUCAAGCAUGAGACAACUUUGUAUGGAGAACCUCAGAAACCUCUCAUCGUCAGCAGCUGUUGCCUAGCAACAGCAUUUAAUUUGGCUUGUCUACCCAGCAACCUAUUCUUUUCAACCUCUUUAAAUCCCCCUUUGGAUAGCCCUUAAUUCCCUUAUAUUUGGAAC